rnacentral:piRNA from 1 species
UCCCCACGCUCUAUUAAACAGAAAGCCUGC